rnacentral:lncRNA from 1 species
AAAUGAAUAAUACUAAUUGGCUCCCCUGGAGUACUAAUUAAGAAACAAAAUUUACAAAAGCAUGAAAUGGUGGCUUUUCUUACUCAAUUUAUUUUUAGUUCAUUCUGAAUGCUUAUUACAAAGUUUCCUCGUUAAAUGUUAACACUUUAGAUGUUUAGCUCUUCUUCUUUUUUUAUCUAAGUAGAAAUAAAAAACUUUAUCUGAAAUGGGUGGAUUAAUUAUUUUAAUUCCAGAUUUUAUAAGCUUAAAAUUUAGAAUGGUACAUAUGAAUUUUUAAAGUGAUUUAGACGAUGUUAUUUAAAUUUAAGUUGAUUGUUUUUAAUUUUAUUACAUUGCCUAAUUUACAUUUAUGUAUUAUACACAAGUAACACCCCUAAUGUAAUCUAAACUUAUACGUUAAAUCGCUAGCUUAAUCUAGUGAGAAAUACAACAAAAAUUCAAUCAGGACUUUCCAUUGCAAAAAUCUUUAUAACCAAAUUAAUGUUCCGAUCACAAGAAUGUAUAAACUAGAAAAGAAAAUGUUUACAAUUUUCAUUUAUAAAUUGAAGUAGUGUAGUUCAAUCACAUAUUUUAGUAGGCAGUAGCCUUCUUCAUGUUGUGAAAUACAAGGUGUCAUGCCACAUGUAAGUCUUCCCAAAAUAAUGGAGUUGAGAUUCUGUCAAAUCUUUAUAUUGAUUAAAAACUAUCUUUCUCUAACUAUUUUAAUGCUUCUUCAUGCUUAGACUAAGAAAAUAAUAAGAGAAGGAUCAAAGCAACAACCUUAAUCUUUAUUAGAGGCCAUUUCGGUAGUGGAUGUGUAUAAAUUACGGCCUCUGUGAACAAGAGAUGCUCACACCAAAAUUUGCAUAAAGAGAAUACUGCUAUUUCUCCAAUGGCAUUGCCCAAAUUCGGUUUUGUAUUCACUAUUCUUCUCAUGGCAUCCAUCAGUUAGUAUUCAUCUCUCUUUAAUCUCUAAAUUGUAAUUAAUGCUACUGUAAGCGUGGAUAUACGCGCUGCUAAUUAUGUGGCCCUAUUCAUUUAUGUGUAUUUAUUUUUGAGCAUGUCGUAAAUGUGUAUUCAUGCUAUAUAAGUUAUAAUUUAAUUCUAACAAUAUUAUAAUGGUAUAUAUUUCAGUUAAUGUGUCGUGGCUCUCAAAGACGCAAAUUAUAGCUACACGGGAUAUUGAACGUGAUCUCUCAGGAUUUGGAAGGAGAUUACUUCCCGAGCUUAACACAUGUCUUCGAAGUUGUACUCCGCAUUCGUCUGAUUGCAGUGAUUGUUGGGUUUGUUGCGCAUGUACGCAUAGGGCUUUGCUUGGCAAUGUGUGUAACUAAGUGGAAGUAGUACAACAAUUUCCUUUGUAUGUUAUUGUUUCCUUGUCUUUCAUAUAUUGUACGAUUAUUUAAAAAGUGAUGUGACUUCCCGUUAAUGAAUAAUACUCUCUCCGUUUCAAUUUAUGUGAAUUCAUUUGACCGGGCACGAAGUUUAAGAAAAAAGAGAAGGCUGUUGAACUUAUGGUGUAAAAUGA